UUCUACUGAGCUGGGGGAAAAGUGGGGUUUUUAUAGGGUACCGAGGUUUUGAAAAGGUGUCCAAUAGUAUUAAUCGGGGUAGAAAGUGACCUAUUGUCUUACAGGGAGAUAAGAGAGGGUCCGAGCGUGGGAGAAGGGUUAUUUUGGCCUAGUCACCAUGACUAGGCAUUUCUGCCCUUAGGCGACUGACCGCCAGAGAGGCCUACCAGGCCUCACGGCUGCAACAGCUCCAGUUGUGUUCUCAGAUAGUCCACAAACUGCAAGAAGUUCUCUGAAGGAAACUGUUUAAUGUUAACAUAACUGCCCUUAACUUCAGUUGUUGGUGGCUGAUAAAACAUUUUCUCUUCAAGCGUCCAGAUUUUAUCUAAAACUGGCUUGGAUAACACUCAAGUUUGUUUUUCUGGACAAUGCCAGACACCUUGACCACACAGGUGAUCAUGUGUGAUAUCAUGUUGUCGUGGUUUGAAGGGAAGUGAGUUUUUUUUUUGGAAGUAGUGGUCAAACCAAUCAGUCUUUAGAUUUGACUAUUGGCACCUUUGCUGGCCACUAAGAGGGUGGACACGCCUCUGAGGACACGAGGGGUUAAAAGCCGGAUUUCCCAGCAGGACUCCCUCUUUCCUGCUCUGCUUUCGGAGAGGGAGCGUCUUCUCCUCUCCCCUGCCUGGGCCUGGGUAGGCCGGGUGGGGGAGGGGAGCAAGGUGGGCCUGGCUGAGCAAGAGAGAAGGUGCCGAGUUGGAGCUGCUUGUGAGAACUGCAGUGUCUGCGAUCGCCUGUGCCUGACCUUGGUGGUGGGAGAUAAAGCUUUUAACUCUUUCUAAGGCAGAAGAGAGUUAUCCCUGGACGCUGUAUUCUCAUAGUUGGUGGUUUUAGAAGAGAGAGAGGACAGCCUGGGACCGAGAGGGUAAUGUGAGAUGGAAAGAAGCCCCUUCGAUUGCCGGAAUGAAGAGGAGUGGCUUAUGAGGCUGGACUUUUCUUGCAUAAUGAUAGCCAUAGACGGACCCUGGACCCUCCUGAUUAUAAAUAAGACUGUGUUUGGGUGGAUGUUUUUGGCUCAAACCCAGAGACGUUUUGGCCUGCUUCGUGGAGCCCCCGGCCCCAGGGGUAAAUGGGGGGGACCUGAGUCCCAAAAUGAGAAGAUGGCUGGUUUUUGGUACUUGGCCAAAACAUCCUUAAAAAGAGCCCUGUUGCAGUGCAGGUCCAUGGACGGCAGUGAGAGUGCCGGACAUGGAAAGGAGGGUGUCACCCUGGCAGACCCUUCCAGGCAGUGCCAUGGGUGACGUGGGAACACGGGAUGGUGGACCUGUGUUUCCUGUGGGGGGAUGGUCUGUGGUGCGAGAGAGACUCCUCUCGUCCUGGAUGGAAUGUGGAUUGUCUGAAUUUUAAAGGAUGAUGGUUUGGAUUAGGAACCCAGGGUUGUUGAGGGAUUAAGCAAGUAGAUGAAGGUAAUGUGCCGGAGUCAACUGAGUGAGCAUGUAUGGAAUGGAAUUGGGGGGAGGAGAAGCAGUGUUUUUGGGAGGUUUUCUCUUCUGCUUUUGGGUGGCUGGGUUUUUCUUUCCUUUUCUAUUGUCCAUUGUUAUGUAAUAUAAUAAAUUGUCUGUCUGUUUCAAGAA